rnacentral:ncRNA from 1 species
AGAGAGUGAGAAUCCCAUCUUGAGUCACCGGUCCACGCCCAUGCGAAGUUCCUUGAAAAAAAAAAAGUUGUUUGGGAAUGCAGCUCUAAGUGGGUGGUAAAUAUCAUCUAAAGCUAAAUAUUGGGUGGAGACCAAUAGCGCACAAGUAGAGUGAUCGAAAGGUUAAAAGCACCUUGAAAAGGGGGUUAAAUAGCACGUGAAAUUGUUGAAAGGGAAGCGCUUGCAACCAGACUCGAGCGCAGGGUUCAGCGGGCAUGCGUGCCCGUGUACUCCCUGUGCUCGGGCCAGCAUCAGUUUCGGCGGUUGGUUAAAGGCCUCUGGAAUGUAUCGUCCUCCGGGACGUCUUAUAGCCGAGAUGUGCUCGUUCGUCUGUAGCGGCCAGCCGGGACUGAGG